rnacentral:rRNA from 1 species
UACGUAGGGACCAAGCGUUGUUCGGAUUUACUGGGCGUAAAGGGCGCGUAGGCGGCGCGGUAAGUCACUUGUGAAAUCUCUGAGCUUAACUCAGAACGGCCAAGUGAUACUGCAGUGCUAGAGUGUGGAAGGGGCAAUCGGAAUUCUUGGUGUAGCGGUGAAAUGCGUAGAUAUCAGGAGGAACACCGGUGGCGAAGGCGGGUCUCUGGGCCGUAACUGACGCUGAGGAGCGAAAGCAUGGGGAGCGAACAGG